rnacentral:tRNA from 1 species
GGGGAUAUGGCGAAAUAGGUAGACGCUACGGACUUAAUUUUAAAAUCAUGAGGGUUCAAGUCCCUCUAUCCCCA